GAAGAAACGAAUGACGUUGGAGGCUCGGACCCUUGACCAGACUGGGCUGGACAAUACACUCCCAAGGACCUUCCGAUUCCGCAUAAAGAAUAAAUAAACGUCAUUUAUGAUUUAGAGAGAAUAAAAUAGUAUUGAAUUUAGACCUCCAGGAUAUUUGACAGCAUAGUCCAAUAGCUAGCACAUGGCAUGCUGAUGAAAUUGUUCCAAACAAAGAAGAGCUCAUUCUCUCGCGACUACAUAAAGGGGAUUUUUUUGUAUUAUGAUGACUAUAUAGAACAUUAAAGUCCAUAUUCUUUAUAAAUAUUUAUUUUUAACAAUUUGUCUAUUAUUCUGAAAAUUCAUGUAAAAUGAAAUUUGAGUCAUACCUCUAGGUUCGUGAAGCAUAUAUUUCCAACUUGUGGCCAAUUAACUGUCGGUUGGAACGUUUCUAUGACUAAAGGAGCUUCACUUGGAA